UNGCAGUCCUAGGGAAGGACCAGCCGUGUC
rnacentral:piRNA from 1 species